GGGGAUAUAAUUCAAUUGGUAGAAUGUUAACUUUGCACGUUAAAAGCCUAGGUUCGAUUCCUAGUAUCUCCA
rfam:Rhizophagus irregularis DAOM 197198w jcf7180003178298, whole genome shotgun sequence.